UAGUCCCUACCUGAUACCUAAUUUGGUCCCGAUGCCCCAACUCAUCGAAAUCCAAAUCCCGUGGGCAGAGGCAGCGCACGAACCAAAUCUUGUCCGAGGGCGGCGGCGGUGGCGGCCGCCCAAAUCCAUAUUCCAAGUUGGGCGAGCGCUCCUAGUAGAGGUGAUGCUCCUUCUCCCGAUGGCUCCUUGUCGUUGUGUGGCUAGCGGCCCAGUUCGAGGCGGACCAAAUCGGAGCUCAUCAACAACAGCCUCCGCCCCACGGUGUGCUUGUCGCAGACUCCCUUCUAAAGCUCCUACACCGGUGGGUUUGUCGCCUCUCUCUCCCUCCCCCUCCCUCCCUCCAUCCCCAUUAACAACCCGCGUCCUCCUCCCCCUAGUCGGCAGCAAGCCGGUGGUGGUCUCCUCGGCUCCUUCCCAUCCGGGCCGUGCAACGAGUUUAACAGAGAAUAAUAAGAAGUUUCCCAGUAUAUAUGACUUAUGAUUCCCAAAGAAGGUGGCAUCGAGGGUCGGCAAAUUGUGCAUCGAAUACUAAGAGUCAACAAUUGGAAGUGUCCUAGUAUAUAUGCUGAUACACAGACUGUUGCGAUAGGUGGUGGCUCUCUGCUCCUUCAAAACCGACCUGUGUGACAUGGUGCAAACCUAAAAGGCGUCACCAUGGUGGUUAAUUUCCCUGGUAAAUAGAUGUUAUUUGAUUUAGCUAGUACAUUUGUGCUCGAUCUCAAAUUUUAUUAGCUAGUUGAUUUAUGCCGCAUCUCUAUAGUUCUAUUUUCUUGUACUUGUUCAUGUCAAACCUGCUCAUGUGGGAAUGAAGCAUAUUGGUAACUUCAUUUGAUUAUGUAUUGCUACUGUUUAUGGUGGUUUAAAAUUCUAUUUUGGUUUUC